GCCAGGGGCCCCGCCCGCCAGUUGGUCGCCUCCUGCAGCACCCUGGAGGCCCAGGGCCGGCGGGGCGGCGGCUGUGGGGAUCCCGGGCGCGGCCCACACCUGGGACAAUGAGCAGGAACCCAGAGACAGGGUCUUGCUGUGUUGCUGAGCUGGUCUUGAACUCCUGGCCUCCCGCCUCAGUCUCCCAAAGUGCUGGGAUUACAGGGAAUGUGACUUCACUGGACGCAGUAUAAAGAUCUUCAGAUGUCCUCCUGCCGGGGAUUGCAGGGAUCACAGAAAGACCAUCGAGGUCCAGGAGCUACCUGCAAGCGGAGAUCCCUCUGGACGCCCCGUGCCUCACCCAGCAAAGCCGGCUCACAACCCUGCGCUCUCAAACCUCUAAAAGGGCUUGAGGUGCCAAUAGGAAAGGAGGCCUGAGAUUGCCACGGCAUACGUGGGCCCCAAGAAGGGAGCCAGGAGUCACUGCCUGCUUGGGCUAAGGGUACCGCGUACGGAAAGGCGGCGGGGACGCGGCCCAGUUCUAGGAGAUGCGCCCAACGAAGAAGCGGAGGGACAGGGUCACGGGAUAGGGCAGACACCCGGCUGCUUUUUGUUUGCUAGACACCAGCGCCAGCCCCUGCCCGGCCCUCCCGGUCUCCUAAGAGCGGGGGGGGUCUUAGGCUCCACAGCGCCCCCGACCGCCCUCCUGCACUCCUCACCGUCUCCAUUGCAAGAGGCGCCCGGCUUGGUUUCCUCGCUUUAGGAAACUCUCUUGGGGCAGGCCCCGCCCCACAUCCGGUGCGGCGACGCCACUUCCGCCCACGUCAUGGCAGUCGCCAGACUGGGGCGAAAGGCAAGGAACCCACCCUUCCGGCGGUGGCGGGCCUCGGUAACCGCCCUCCCCCGGGUCCUCACGGACCGCACGGAUCCGGCUGACGGCGAGGGUCAUGGGACGGAGGCGCUUGUAUUUAAAAUGUUCUUUUUUUAUUUGUCGUUUAAAAACAAACUUGGAAGAAGCAAAAUCCAAAACUUGCCCUUUGCCUCUCGCAACAUAAAUAUGUACAGUUCAGAAUGAUCGCUGAUACAAAACAUGCCAAGGACAGGGGCGCUGAGGGUGGAGGGAGAGAGGGCGCUUUAAAAAAGGGAACCAUUUCAUCCGUUGUUACAAAGGACCAACCUUGCUGUACAGGAUACACACAACACAAAAUAAAGUCUUCACGGGAUUC